UACGGAGGGUGCGAGCGUUGUCCGGAAUCACUGGGCGUAAAGGGCGCGUAGGCGGCUCGUUAAGGGUGCGGUGAAAGCCCGGGGCUUAACCCCGGGUCGGCCGUGCCGACUGAUGAGCUGGAGCACUGUAGAGGCAGGUGGAAUUCCGGGUGUAGCGGUGGAAUGCGUAGAGAUCCGGAAGAACACCAGUGGCGAAGGCGGCCUGCUGGGCAGUGGCUGACGCUGAGGCGCGACAGCGUGGGGAGCAAACAGG
rnacentral:rRNA from 1 species